rnacentral:rRNA from 1 species
UACGGAGGAUGCAAGCGUUAUCCGGAAUGAUUGGGCGUAAAGCGUCCGCAGGUGGCUGUGUAAGUCUGCUGUUAAAGAGUGAGGCUCAACCUCAUAAAAGCAGUGGAAACUACACGGCUAGGGUGCGUUCGGGGCAGAGGGAAUUCCUGGUGUAGCGGUGAAAUGCGUAGAUAUCAGGAAGAACACCGGUGGCGAAAGCGCUCUGCUAGGCCGCAACUGACACUGAGGGACGAAAGCUAGGGGAGCGAAUGGG